rnacentral:rRNA from 1 species
AGAGUUUUGAUCCUGGCUCAGAACGAACGCUGGCGGCAGGCUUUAAACACAUGCAAGUCGAGCGCCCUCUUCGGAGGGAGCGGCAGACGGGUGAGUAACGCGUGGGAAUCUACCUAUCUCUAGGGAAUAACUCAGGGAAACUUGUGCUAAUACCCUAUACGUCCGUAGGGAGAAAGAUUUAUCGGAGAUAGAUGAGCCCGCGUUGGAUUAGCUAGUUGGUGGGGUAAAGGCCUACCAAGGCGACGAUCCAUAGCUGGUCUGAGAGGAUGAUCAGCCACACUGGGACUGAGACACGGCCCAGACUCCUACGGGAGGCAGCAGUGGGGAAUAUUGGACAAUGGGCGCAAGCCUGAUCCAGCCAUGCCGCGUGAGUGAUGAAGGCCCUAGGGUUGUAAAGCUCUUUCACCGGUGAAGGUAAUGACGGUAACCGGAGAAGAAGCCCCGGCUAACUUCGUG